rnacentral:rRNA from 1 species
UACGUAGGGGGCAAGCGUUGUCCGGAAUCAUUGGGCGUAAAGAGCGUGUAGGCGGCCCGGUAAGUCCGCUGUGAAAGUCCAGGGCUCAACCCUGGGAUGCCGGUCGAUACUGCCGGACUAGAGUUCGGAAGAGGCGAGUGGAAUUCCCGGUGUAGCGGUGAAAUGCGCAGAUAUCGGGAGGAACACCUAUGGCGAAGGCAGCUCGCUGGGACGUUACUGACGCUGAGACGCGAAAGCGUGGGGAGCAAACAGG